rnacentral:rRNA from 1 species
GAGUAGGAAGGUCCCCACACUGGUACUGAGACACGGACCAGACUCCUACGGGAGGCAGCAG